rnacentral:rRNA from 1 species
UACAGAGGUCCCAAGCGUUGUUCGGAUUCACUGGGCGUAAAGGGUGCGUAGGUGGCCAGGUAAGUCUGAUGUGAAAUCUCGGAGCUCAACUCCGAAACUGCAUUGGAUACUAUCUGGCUGGAGGGUCGGAGGGGGGACUGGAAUUCUCGGUGUAGCAGUGAAAUGCGUAGAUAUCGAGAGGAACACCAGUGGCGAAGGCAGCCCCCUGGGUCAAAACUGACGCUCAUGCACGAAAGCGUGGGGAGCAAACAGG